rnacentral:rRNA from 1 species
UCCAGUCCCUACACCGAAAAUAAACCUUAAUCCAACAUCGAGGUCGCAAACCCCCCUGCCGAUAAGAACUCUCAAGGGGGAUAACGCUGUUAUCCCUAAGGUAAUUUAAUCUUACAAUCAAAAUAAAUGGAUCAAAUAAAUAUAAAUAAAUAUAACAACACAAAGGAGGGGUUAAAUAAAUCCCUCCCAUCACCCCAACGAAACAUACUAAACGGCCCAGCGAACCCUCACAAACAGAAAAGAACCGUAAUAAAUGUCAAACUCUAUAGGGUCUUCUCGUCCCAUAAAAACAUCUAAGAAUUUUAACUCAAAGACCAAAUUCAAUAAACAAUUCAAAAUUAAGACAGCCCAUGCCUCGUCAAGCCAUUCAUACCAGAUCACAAUUAAAGAACUAAUGACUAUGCUACCUUUGCACGGUCAAAAUACCGCGGCCCUUCAACACCAAAGUCAGC